rnacentral:rRNA from 1 species
GAUGAACGCUAGCGGGAGGCUUAACACAUGCAAGUCGAGGGGCAGCAUAGGGUAGCAAUACUCUGAUGGCGACCGGCAAACGGGUGACGUAACGCGUAUGCAACCUACCCUGUACAGGGGGAUAACCCGGAGAAAUUCGGACUAAUAUCCCGUAAUAAUAUCCGGAGGCAUCUUUGGAUAUUAAAGUUUCGACGGUACGGGAUGGGCAUGCGUAACAUUAGCUGGUUGGUAAGGUAACGGCUUACCAAGGCUAUGAUGUUUAGGGGUCCUGAGAGGGUGGUCCCCCACACUGGUACUGAGACACGGACCAGACUCCUACGGGAGGCAGCAGUGAGGAAUAUUGGUCAAUGGGCGCAAGCCUGAACCAGCCAUCCCGCGUGCAGGAAGACGGCCCUAUGGGUUGUAAACUGCUUUUCCAGGGAGAGAAACUUACGCACGUGUUGCGUGACUGACGGUACCCUGGGAAUAAGCAUCGGCUAACUCCGUG